AAGCGCCGUGUACGGAACCGUACGCACGGUGCUGUGAGAGGUCGGUGAGGGAGCUAAUCCCUCACCUCCUACUCGAU
rnacentral:ncRNA from 1 species